rnacentral:rRNA from 1 species
ACGCUCGACACCUACGGGGGGCAGCAGUGGGGAAUAUUGCACAAUGGGGGAAACCCUGAUGCAGCGACGCCGCGUGAAGGAAGAAGUAUUUCGGUAUGUAAACUUCUAUCAGCAGGGAAGAAACUGACGGUACCUGACUAAGAAGCACCGGCUAAAUACGUGCCGNNNGNNGGAGUAUNGNGGCGGNGNGAGAG